UCCGAUCUGAUAUGUAAAUCCAAGUAAGUAAAGGGGCCUCUAGGGAUGUCUAGGCAAUGGUCCGGUAAGAGGAAUCUUGCCUAAGAGUCGUAGGAACUUUCCUAUCCUCGAUCAAUCUAAAGGAUGUUCCCUAUUACCCUGGGAACUGAAACAUCUAAGUACCAGGAGGAAAGAAAAUCAACCGAGAGUCCAGAAGUAGUGGCGAGCGAACCUGGAGUAGCCAUCUGGUUAUUGAAAUCUCCAUAUCAGGUAAUUACGGUUUUAACUCCUUUUUGAUUCUGAUUUAAUCCCUUCUAAAGAGAAUGAGUAAUACAAGGAAAAACACCUCGUGUACAGUUCAUUACUUUCAAUUUAUCCGUAAUUACUUGAGGACUCACCAGAUAUCCCGGGUUAACCAACCUGGUUUAAUUAAAGGGGAACCUUCCUCUUGAGGCUAAGUAUGGACCAAUGAGCGAUAGAGCAGAGUACCGUGAGGGAAGGAUGAAAAAGCAGGUAGAAGACUGGUGAAAAGAGCCUGAAGUAGAGGCUCCAGAAGCAGCUGGUAUCUCCCCUGAGAUGGUUCAUGAAGGUUUUCUGAAGAGUGAAGCCAUCCAGAUUCUGGGAUGACAGCGUACCUUUUGCAUAAUGGGUCAGCAAGUUGAUGGUAGGAGCAAGUAGCAAUACCUAGUAAAUGCGACCCCGGGAUAAUUAUUGAGUUUUAAUUGCCUUAAGAGACUCCUAAGCCAAUCCUUACAGCCGACCAGCUAUGGUUAUCUAUUGAUAAGCGAUAUACUAAGCCGGCGGGGGGGGGCCUGCGGGGGAUCCAAAGGAUCCCGGGCCGUAGGCUAGCCCCCCCUCUUAAGGCAACAAGCAAAACUCAUUCUAAUCAAAACUCGGCGGUGUAAGUUCCGUGGAUCAGACCCGAACCCAGGUGAACUUGCCAUGGCCAAGUGUUAAGACUGAACGGGUGUCCGUUGCAAGGGGCUCCGAUGAGCUGUGGCAAGGGGUGAAAGGCCAAUCUUACCUGGAGCUAGCUGGUUUACCGCGAAACCUAUAUCAGUAGGCUCCCACCUACUUUAUCCUUAACCACUCCUUUAUCCCUUGACCCUUCCCUCUUUACUAGGUCGCAUACCGAGGUACUAAAGAGACGAAGUUGCCUAUGGUAAGCUUCCUAAUUCCCCUUAAGAGUGCCCCCAAGGCAAUGAUUCGCCUUAUACAAGGCGAUCAUACACUUAAGGAUAGAGUCUCGCUCUAAAAGAGCGAUCUUCACUACUCAAGAGAAGAGACACGAAGGAGCAGGGUAGCAACUACCAAGGCAUAGAGGGUACCGGAUCGUGAACAUUACAGGUGGAUCAGGUUGUUACUAGCUGGUACGGCACUGGAAUGCGUGCAUCACUGCUUNAACGGGGGGCUAUAAUGGCUCUAUCGUCCCUUUCUAACCCCGGAAUUGCUAGUAUACAAAGGUGGGUAAUCAGACCAUUCAUGAUAAGGUGAUUGGUCAAAAGGGCAACAGCCCUGAACAGGGGGUAAGGUCCCUAAGUUCUACUGAGUGAUAACAAGGCAGUCCUCACCAGAGUCUUUCCACCAAGUGGGCUUGGAAGCAGCCACCUUUUUGUGAAAGCGUAACAGCUCAGUGGUAAUUAUCGGGAAUAUUUGAAGUCAAAGUGAGGGCGCCGAUAAUCUAACGGGUCUAAGUAGAAGUCUCCUGAGGGGGACAGGCAAAGGCAAUUGGCAUCGCGUUGCUGAUGGUGAAGCUCUUCUUGCCUCUUAAACGUACUCUAUCCUUAACGUGUCCUCUGUCUUAUCUAAGUCGCAGAUGCUCGCGGACGACCAUCUGGUACUAGGUGCCUCGCUGCGAGCGCCCGUCCAGUUGGACGGAGGCACCUAGGCAACUAGUCGUAGGUGAAAACUAAAGAAGGCAACACGAUACCCAGUCCAAUACUUUGCCUCACCGAUACCCUGUCCUAGUCCCCAUCCCCCUCUUCUAUUCUCUUAUUUACUAAGUGUAGGUUUUACUUCGCCUUAUACAAGGCGAUUAAUGGUCGCGGACGACCAUUAACUAUCUUACUUGCUGAAAAGUAACCAAGGAGCAGUUAGAAAGGCUCAUGUUUUUGUCUUGUUGUUGCUCCUUUGCAUAAACAAGGCAACUUUUGCCCGGUCGACAUACUUGCCUAGGGCAGGUUUAAACCGUUUUAGGCCUGGCACGAGCCUUGAGGCUCUUGCUGCUACUAGCAUGCCGCUGAGACGAUGGUCGCAUGGUAGCAAGGGGGACAACUCUGCCUUACGACUAGUUGGGUCUGUAACGGUAAAAGCCGGGGGGAUCUGGUGUGAUACUAGGGGUAGCGGUACUCCCAGCAAAUGGAUUGAAGCUGGGUCAUCGACCCGGUGGACAUAGCCGGGGUGAGAAUGCUGACAUGAGUAGCGUUAAAGCAGGGGAUAUCCCCUAAUCGCCGUAAGCAGAAGGGUUUCAUGAGUAAGGUGAAUACCACCAUGAGUAAGGCUCCGGCCUCUAAGGCACCGGAUACUCCCGAGUCCCGAUGAGUCACUCUAACUGAUCCCCAGUAACCUAUCUUUAAAGAUUACCUUUUACCUCUUAACAGUAAGUAGACUCUUUCCGCUCUUCAAUUUUACCUGAACCGGGUUAUGGCACGAGUUUUCCCUACUGCACGCCCUACAGUUGUCAGAGAUCAAACUCUUGGUUGCAGGUUGGUAGUUGGUAGUCGGUAGCCUUUUAAAACACUUAAAACCCAGUGGAACGAGCCUUUAGGGGCUUGGGGGGCCGUAAGCCCACCUUUAGCCCCUAGCAUGGCUGGCUUUUUCAAUGAGGCGUCGACUUUUAUCAUGCGACUGACUUUUUCAAUGAGGGCAGAUUUCGUCACUGCGUCGCCUUAUAGUUACCAGGACGAAAAGCAAGGUAUCGGCAUGGUUAACAAACAAUGCAAAUCAUUCAAACAUCAAGGAAAAACACCAUGAUAAAACAAACUAUCCAAAAUGAAAUGAUUCAAAGGUAAUCUUAAAGGGUAUAAGGUUCGGGAAAUAGGUGAUCAAAAAUCAGUUUGAUGGUGAAUGUGGUCUUACUCCAUAAGACAAACCGUACCCUAAUCCGACGCAGGUCUGCAGGUUCACGAUACCUAGGCGUAGAGGAAAUCCUCUUGAAGGAACUCGGCAAUCUAACCCCGUAACUUAGGGAGAAGGGGUGCCAGUGGCUUCCCGUCUUACUUAUCCCUUACUUCCCUCUUGAGUAGUGUACAUCGCUCUUAAGAGCGAUAAUCGAAUUCGCUCCUUAACAAUCCCCAUCUACCUUUGACACUAAUUGAUUGAAUCCCCAUUUUCAAGGAGGUUAGCCCUUAUUUUAUCCUUAAUUCAUGAGGUUUAGUAAGUUACUUAACAGGACGAUGCCUAAAGCAAAGCAAAGGAAAGGAAAGGGACGAUUCGUCCUUAACGACGUUCAUUGUUAACUACGGUAAACGGGAAGGGAGGAAGCUGGCGGCACUAAAAAGGGGGGCGCGUCUGUUUACUUAAAACACCGGACUCUGCUAACUCAUGCGUGGAUGUAUAGAGUCUGAUACCUGCCCGAUGCUAGUUAAUGAACUUAGCCGUUCAAGGAUGGCAAGGUAACCUCUAGUUAAUGGCGGCUGUAACCUUGACGGUCCUAAGGUAGCGAAAUUUCUUGGCAUUUAAAUGAUGUCCCGCAUGAAAGGUUUAACGAUGCUCCCACUGUCUCCAAGAGGACCUCGGCGAAAUUGAAUUAUCCGUGAAGAUGCGGAUUACCCCCAGGUAGACGAGAAGACCCUUUGAAGCUUGACUGCAUCUACCUACUCUGGUACCGGUACUCGGGAAGGAGUCUACAAGGGAGUUGACUAGACACCAGUGAGAUACCUUGACCUAGGUACUAGUAACUCAAUAAAUGGUGGUUAGAAGGCAGUUUUUUGGGGCGAAAUCCUCACCUAAAGUAACUGAGGAGUCCGAAGGUGUGCAUAUCCUAGGUAGGUAACCUAAUUAACCCGUUGGAGAGGGUAAUAAAAAGCGCAAUGGCAUAAGCAUGCUUGACUGCAUGAGCUACAACUCUAGCAGGAAAGAGAUGGGCCUCAAGGCCCAUGAACCAAAGCUUUGGUUCAUCCGCCCCUAGUUAUCCCCCCUUUUUGACGAGGUUCAGUCCGCACUGUUAAGGGCGGAUCGAGUCGUCCUUAAGAAAAAAGGAGGCCUCCUUGGAGGCCCCCCUAAACCCCCCGGCCUUUAGAGUGCGGACCUUAAGCUUGAACCCUCUACUUGAACCCUGUAUAGUACUCCACCUUAAUUGGCUUAAGAGGGCGGGCCCCAAGGCAAUGAUUCGUCUUAUAUAAACAGACGAAAAGCUAUAUUAAAUUACUGUGAUUGCCAGUAACGGUUUUAUUGCUCAAAUUUGAAAGUCUUCAUUGACUUUUUCCAUGAGGCGUCGAGUUUUCCAUGCAGUAGAGCCUAAGGACGGAUUUAUCGCCUUUUAUAAGGCGCGACGUCCGAGUAGAGUAACAACAGGGGGCAGCUAGGGGCUUUAGGCAACUAGGGCAUAGUGACCCGGUGAUACAUUAAGGGAUGGUCAUCGAUCAACGGAUAAAAGCUACUCAAGGGAUAACAGGCUGAUCCCCCGCGAGAGUCCAUAUUGACUGGGGGGUUUGGCACCUCGAUGUCGGCUCAUCCUAACCUAGAGCUGAAUAAGGUUCUAAGGGUUCGGCUGUUCGCCGAGUAAAAGGGUACGUGAGCUGGGUUAAGUACGACGCGAGUCAGUACGGCUUCUAUCUUCUGGGGGGAGAAGGAAGUAUCGAGGAAGCUGGCAGUGGUACGCAAGGAUUCUGCUGAAAUUACCUCUUGUGUACCUGUUGUUUAAGGUAACUAAAGAAGUGCCUGAGCAUAGCAGGGUAGCUACGUAAGUAAUAGAUAACCGCUGAAUCCAUAUAAGCGGGAAACUAACCCUUUUAACUUCCUUCCUUAUUAAGACUUAAGGAAUAAUACCUUAUUAAUAGGUUGACAGUGUAAUUGUGGUAACGCAUUUAGCUAUUUAAUACUAACAGUCAAGUAACUUGGAUUUACCAGAUCGUA
rnacentral:rRNA from 1 species